AAUACCAUAUCACAUAUUUUAACAAUUAAUAACUGGAUAAAGCCUUAUUCAAAAAUCUUGAUUGCAGAUGUAAUUCAUGUGUAAUCCUUUCAAAUAUAUACAUGGAUAUAAUAUAUGCAUUCCAACAGUAAGACUCAUUGGUUAAUCAUCAUAUACAUAAAACAAAAGGAAAAAAUGUAAUUGUUUUUGAUUGUUCAGGAUGAUCUCACUCUAACUUAUUAAUAGUACAAACAUAAUAACAAAAAAAACAACUUACUUUACUUGCUACUUUCUUUCUUCAACCCACAAUGAAUUGCUGAGCCCCUUCUCUCAAAUAUCUCCAACUGGUGCAGCGCCACUUCUCUCUUCCUCUUUUUUCCAAUUUGUAUCAGGCGUAUACAAGUAUGAUUAG
rnacentral:lncRNA from 1 species